CUCAGCUGGCAGUUUCUUCACUUCUGGUGUUUGUUUUGUUUGUAAUAUUGUCUUUUCAGGUGUCUACCUCUAUGGAAAAAAUCCCUUCUGAAUUUAGAAAUAUUGUUACAGAGAGAAAAAUGUGAACGUGCCUGAUUACCCCACAUCACCUCUUUUUUUCAAGCUCCCAUCUUACCUGCUUUAAAACUCAGCAGACAGAUUGUAUGCUAUUGUAGUCUUUUAUUUCUGGAGUUUAAUCUUCAGUUUCUACUUCUUUGACAACACCCUGGUCAGGGCACCACAGUGCCUGAGCAGCUUCAUUGGGUAACAGCAUGCAGCUGGGAUCUGCAGCUGCUCCUCUUUCACCUGUUUGUAGCCUGCUAGAAACAUUCCCCACGUGUGGUUUGCAUCACUGCCUGGCUAGUGGGGCUGCAGAAAUGUAUCAACCAGGGAAAACAGCCACAGAUUUGUUUUUGUUUUGUUUUGUUUGAAAUUAGUAUUUUUUUAUUGCAAUUUCUCACUGGCUCUUGUCAAAGAAGUUAUUCCAAUUGUCCUUCCCAUCUGUGCCUUGUGUGCAUAUGAACCUGCAGUGCUUUCAGAAAGGAGUCCUGACCCCAGCAGGACCCACCUAGCCACUCUGGAGGCAAAGAGCUGUGUCUGAUUGGGGAUUCUGCAGCUGACAUAACACAAACACACAACUCCAUAUAUAAAUAUAAAUCAAAAGUAGUAGAAGACAGUGGAUUUUAACUAAAGGUCAAUAGAUACUCAAACUGAAUGCAACAGAAGUUGGUAGCACGCCCUGUUCUAAAGAUUUUGAUGACUUGAAUAUGCGAAUAAGGGAGAUUGCUCCAUCCUCAAAACUCCACCAAACAACAAGUAAUUGCCACUCAAACAAAUGCAAAUGAAUUUUGAGCCUUUUCGUUGUAAUGACUAUUUUGUCACUGUCAUUAUCUGAGUAGGGUAGAAGACAUUGUGUUUCAGAAGAUAUUCCUUGCUGUUUGUGAUUUCAAUUAUUUGACAUUACUUAGUUUGCUGGGUGGCUGCAAAUUAAUGGAUUUAGUAUUCAGAAACUGGACCCAGAUUCAUUAUAACCGCCAUUUCCACUUGCCUGUUGCUCUGCUCUCUACCUAGCUCAGAGACCUUAAAGGCCUGACCAAAAGCAUCUUGAAGCAUCUGUACUACUGCUAUCAGUAAACUCAAGAUCAAGCAGUAGGCCCUCAUUUGGUAACACAGCAAUGAGUGAAGCUGAAAAACUCUCAAAUCUUUCCUCCUUGUACAAAUUUUUAACCCUUAACUAUCUCUAAUUCUGUAAAUUACUGAGCAGGGUUUAGUAGAACAUGUAAACAUGCACUAAACUCUUUCUUAUGUGUCACUUCAUCUUUCUGUGGAUCAUUUCACAGUACAAGCACCCAAGAAAUACUGUUCUUUUUUUCUUUUUCAGGAAGCUUUCAAGCUGAUUUCCUUGUCUUGAAGAAGUUCUGGACCGGGCAAAGGAACUACUGUGGCUUCUGAGGCAAUAUUCAGCAGUGUUUCGUGUCAGUACUAGGAGAAAAAGAAAAGCUGCACCUAGACACGCGUUUGUACAGAGGUACUGCAAUGUUCAAUCAGAUGAGUGUACCUGAGUCCAAUAUGGCAAUUGGACUCAGUUUGGCAAUUGCAAGUAUGGCAAUGUGUAUUGGCAGGAAGUCUAAGGAUAAGCAGGGCUAAAGGAGCAUGCUCAUAAUCUGCUAUAGAUAAACAGCCGUGUCUGUCUGUUACCAUCUAAAGCAAAAAGAAAUAAAUGAAUUGGUAAAACUA